GACGAACGCUGGCGGCGUGCUUAACACAUGCAAGUCGAACGGAAAGGCCCUGCUUUUGUGGGGUGCUCGAUUGGCGAACGGGUGAGUAACACGUGAGUAACCUGCCCUUGACUUUGGGAUAACUUCAGGAAACUGGGGCUAAUACCGGAUAGGAUCUCCUGCUGCAUGGUGGGGGUUGGAAAGUUUCGGCGGUUGGGGAUGGACUCGCGGCUUAUCAGCUUGUUGGUGGGGUAGUGGCUUACCAAGGCUUUGACGGGUAGCCGGCCUGAGAGGGUGACCGGGCACAUUGGGACUGAGAUACGGAGCAGAAUCCUACGGGAGGCAGCAGUGGGGAAUAUUGCACAAUGGGCGGAAGCCUGAUGCAGCAACGCCGCGUGCGGGAUGACGGCCUUCGGGUUGUAAACCGCUUUCGCCUGUGACGAAGCGUGAGUGACGGUAAUGAGUAAAGAAGCACCGGCUAACUACGUG
rnacentral:rRNA from 1 species